rnacentral:rRNA from 1 species
UACGAAGGGUGCAAGCGUUAAUCGGAAUUACUGGGCGUAAAGCGUGCGUAGGCGGUUUGUUAAGUCUGUCGUGAAAUCCCCGGGCUCAACCUGGGAAUGGCGAUGGAUACUGGGCAGCUAGAGUGUGUCAGAGGAUGGUGGAAUUCCCGGUGUAGCGGUGAAAUGCGUAGAGAUCGGGAGGAACAUCAGUGGCGAAGGCGGCCAUCUGGGACAACACUGACGCUGAAGCACGAAAGCGUGGGGAGCAAACAGG